rnacentral:lncRNA from 1 species
AUGCAGGCAGUGGUCAUUGCAAACGCUGGGGGCGGGGUGCGGGCAGAGGCUGCUGCUCCAGGGAGGCUGUCACUCUGCCGGCCCCAGGGGGCCAUCGAGGCCUGCCCAUCGGGUGUGUGUCUGUCCCACUGUUCGGUGCGGGCAGAGGCUGCUGCUCCAGGGAGGCUGUCACUCUGCCGGCCCCAGGGGGCCAUCGAGGCCUGCCCAUCGGGUGUGUGUCUGUGCCUCCACACUGUUCCGGGGGGAGGGGGAGGGAGGCCAGGGCAGAGCAGGGCUGGGGACCUUGGCCCCUUUCCUUGUUUCUCAGGUAGGGCCGUGGCCUGGCGCACACACCGCCGCACACCCGGGUUCUUCAGUCCUGCCGUCACCCCUCGCUCUUGUUUAGUCCCCAAACGCAGCAGCAUGUGUGCCUCCAGACUGGUUUGUUGACUUAAAUUAAGAAAGACCCAGCUGGAGAAAAUAUCAGUGUCCAAACAUUAAGCAACAUGUGAUACUGUGUAGAAAGUAUUGCUUUUGCAUGUUGUGAUUGCCAUGGCAACAAGGCGACGUGGAUGCACAUGUGAGACUUCUGGCAGGAAACACAGGAGCAGGUAUGCAGCCGAGCUGAGGCCCCCAGCAGGUGGAUUUGGUCCCAGGGCUCUGGGGACGCUCUGCUGCUUGGGGGCAUCUCCAGACACCCCCAUGUCUCCAGUGGCCCAAAGAAGGGGGUCUCGCCCCAGGAUAGAGGUGCAGAAACCUGAGUCUCAGACUCUGCUGAACUUGGAUUCCCGUCCCCCAGCCCCGUGAGCAGAGUGAGUACAUGUGUGGGACCCUCCUCCCGAGGUCCCCAGAGUCUAGGGCCUGGCAAAGCAGCCAGGCUUCUGGCUGCCAGAAUCAGCUGCUCCUGUGUCCUGUCCCACUGAGUCCAUGACUGGGGCAGGGACAGUUCGCAACACCCCUCCCAAGGAGAAAGGCCAGCCCUGGCCAUCUCCCGGGACGUAAUCCAGGGCCAGUAGGGGUGACAAAACCUGACAGAGCGAGGUCAGGGCACUGGUGACCCGUGGUGACCCCAUGGGCAUCCGCUGGAGCUCGUCCUGGCUCCAGGGCCUCCUCAAGGCCCAGGAGGAGGGACGUGCAACCUGGCCUGACGGUCCGGGGCUAGCACAGCAGGUGUGCGAAGGCCCAGCAGCCAAGAACACGUGAGAAGACACGGCGGAGGCCCAGACGUCGGGGCGGAAGGGCCGAAAUUCCCCCGACUGAGGCUGCAUCUGAUGAGGUUGGAGGCAUUGUCUGGUUUUCCUCGCUGCGUUUGGUGAAAAGGAAGCUUCCACCGUGGAGGAUGUUAACGACAGGUAGGCCAGCCGUGUGGCUUUCCCUGGCGGGACCCUGUCGCCCACUGCUUUUCUCGUGAGCAGAGGAGGAGCCUGAGCAGGGGUGGCCAAGGGUCACCCCUCGCCAGACGGCAACUACUUAAACCUAGGGGACAGUUCAAAAACUUGUAAUUUUGUUGGAAUAAACUGCAGGUAAUUUUAUGACAAGAGCCGUACCAAGCCUUUUAAUCUGUAGAGUCCCUGGGAACAGAGAAGUGCUGUGUGCAUCUGGCAGUCACAGAGUCUUUCCUUCCGCUCUCCUGAGACAGGAGG